rnacentral:lncRNA from 1 species
AAAAACUUUUUAUACAAAAUUCUCAAUAUUUAAGAUACAAGUAUUGUUAAUAUUUGUUUUUUUCAACAUCUACUUUAUCUUUAUAAAAUAAGAUACGGCUGCAUGGGAUUUUCUUGCUGGGUUGAAGACACAAUGGUGACCUUUUGCCGAUUUCUGCUCUUUGGUUUGGUUGUUGUCUCUUUGACAUAUUCUCCAUUUCCUUAUACUUCACACAUGUCAGUCAUACUCUCACAACUAUUUUGUGAAAUUUUUUGAAAAGUGCAAAUUUAACAAAGACUAAUAGGGGAAAUCAAUGGUGGUAUUACACCUUGACCUUUCAGAUAUUUAAAAAAAAUUUUUUUUUAAUACAAAUGAUGAUCACAAUGAAAUGUCACUUUGUUUCUAUUUAAAAUAGUUUUAAUAUAAUAUCCCAACAUGUUUUACCUAAUACAUGUUUAAAGUUGUACAAUAUGACAAUAUUUAAUUUAAUGACUAGACUAUUUUGGAAUGUAUUUUUCCUAUAGGAAUGGUGAAUUAAACAAUAGUGAAUAAGUUUUUUUCCAUACAAAAUUUGUCACUAUCCCUCCUAUCUUUUCACUUUUUUACAGUUACCUACUAUCAAUUUGUCACUAUCCCUCUUUAUCUUUUCACUUUUUUACAGUUACCUACUAUCAAUUUGUCACUAUCCCUCUUUAUCUUUCACUUUUUUACAGUUACCUACUAUCAAUUUGUCACUAUCCCUCUUUAUCUUUUCACUUUUUUACAGUUACCUACUAUCAAUUUGUGAUUACACCCUGAACAUCAACCAAACAAACAUAUCAGCUGUAUCAUAUAGAAAUCAACCUUAUACAAGUACAAAUGUACAUGUGAAAGACUUUGACUGAUUUUGGAACAUUCAAAUACAAAUUCUAAUGCAACAACGUUUGUAACAUUCAUUUUCAUUGGAUAACGUCACUUAUUUACAUGGCAUCAAUUGACAAUUGAUGCUAUGGGACUACGAGCAAGCACAGAUGGCAUCUGACAGAUUUUAAAUACAUGUUUUAACGUUGUUUUCUGUAAGUUUCAUUAGAAUGGAGAUAACAAUAUUGUAUUUUAAGCUCCGACGGCAUCAAUUGGGGAUUUGAUGGUCGCAAAUACCUGUUUACUGUCUCAGCUAACGCGUCACCAGUAAACUUAAUUUGUGACCAUCAAAUCCCCAAUUGAUGCCGUCGGAGCUUAAAAUACAAUACAGUUAUCUCCUAAAUAAAAGAAUUUUGGUCUGUUCUUGUACAUACAAAGUCUUGAACACUUACAGACUUUGUAUAAUUUUUUUACAAUCUGAAAAAUGGCUGGUGAAUUCAUACCUAACGCAGCUCAUAUAUUUUGUUAAAAAGCGUUUCUCUAGUUUAUAUCUCAUAUAUAGGCUGCACAGAAAAAUCAUAUAAAUAAUAUCGAAAACAUCUUGCUAUUUUCAUAUUUUACUAUAUAAAUAACAUAUUGAAAACAUUAACGUGAUUUUCCCCCCUAAAAACAAUGAAAUAUUAUUUUUGUAUAAUAGCAAAGUAAAAUGAAAUUUUAACAAAAGUAUCACCAUAAAUAUGAAGCUGACUUUACAAGAAUUAACGUACUUCUACCUCUUUUCAUCUAGUUAUUUUGGUAAUAGUUCACAUGAAAGAUGGACUUGAAAAAGAUUUUUUUUUAAACACUAGUAACAUAUACAUAUAUGUAAUGUCCCACUCUACUUUACUACAACUAUCACCCUAAAACAUUUAAUACAUCUACCCUCUCAAGAUAUAAUAUUUUAAAGAAAAGAUAAAUGGUUAAAUGAUAUAUUACAGUAUAUUAUUACAACCUCUAGCAUUUCACUUAACCAAAUGUAUGUUUUAUUAUUCUUAAACAGUAUAACUGUGUUUAAAGUUACAGAAUAAUUCAUAAUUAUCCCCCUUUUUAGUUUUGAGGACCCCGUCAGAGUUUAUCAAAAGAUGAUAUCAAUUGUAUACUGUCAUUUACUUUUUUAUUGCAUCAACCCUAUUCAAUAAACAACUACCAGUAAAAGAUAUGACUUUUGAUCUUCCUAUCCUAACCUAAUGAACAUAUGUAUAUGUCUAGAUUCUGGGCAACUAAGGCCCUAUUAUAUGUUAUGGUCAUUUGACCAUUUUUUAAAGAUAUUUGAUGACCUCUUAAUGUGAAGUUUUGCUUCCUUACAAUCUGUUUUAUUGAUUUAGAUUAAAGGAAUAACAGUACUGUAGUUGAAGAGUUGCCACUGUCAAUUGGUGAUUUGACAGUCGCAAAUGCAGUUUUACUGGCGACGCGUAGCAGAGCUAGUAAAACAGAAAUUUGCUACUGUCAAAUCAAAAUUGGCGGUUGCAACUCUUCAACUACGGUAUUGUUAUUCCAAAUCCAAUGCAACAGAAAAAAAAUUAUUACGUUAGAGCUUGAAAAAAUGUAUAAAUUUCAAAUAGAAUAAAUUUCAAAUAGAAUAAAAUUCAGCGAAACUUCAUGAAUGAUUUUGGCGCAAAGAUGUUGUGGCUAAACGUGACGUCAUACAAAUGAUACCUCACAAACUGAAGGUUAUUAUGUUACCUGUACGAUUCAAAUUUGGAUAAAAUCACAUUAAAACAGUGAUUCUGAUGUAGCUCUUGUUUUAUUUUUGAAUAAACUAAUGCACACAGAAAUUACUGAAUUGCCAAUACACAAUGAUGAACACAAUAACUACUUAUUGCACAUUGAAUAAU